CUGUUCAUUUGCAGAUGCAGCAUGUUCUUGCCGUUGUCUCUGGAGAUGGUGAAUCGGCCCUUCACAGAGUUGGCAUAGUAUGUGGUACUUCCAUCAGGAUUUAUUUGACAUAACAACUCCAGCCUCUUCCCUGGAGCCUGGCGGACCCAGUGCAUCCAGUAGCUACUGAAGGUGAAUCCAGAGGCUGCACAGGAGACUCUAAGAGACCCCCCAGGCUUCACCAAGCCUCCCCCAGACUCCAUCA